UACGGAGGGUGCAAGCGUUAUUCGGAAUUAUUGGGCGUAAAGGGCGCGUAGGCGGUCCCUUAAGUCAGUUGUGAAAUCCCGGGGCUUAACCCCGGAAGUGCAUUUGAAACUAAGGGACUUGAGUAUGGGAGAGGGAAGUGGAAUUCCUGGUGUAGAGGUGAAAUUCGUAGAUAUCAGGAGGAACACCGGUGGCGAAGGCGACUUCCUGGACCAAUACUGACGCUGAGGCGCGAAGGCGUGGGGAGCAAACAGG
rnacentral:rRNA from 1 species